CAAUGGGGGAAACCUGACCCAGCAACGCCGCGUGAAGGAAGAAGGCCUUCGGGUUGUAAACUUCUUUUACCAGGGACGAAGGACGUGACGGUACCUGGAGAAAAAGCAACGGCUAACUACGUGCCAGCAGCCGCGGUAAUACGUAGGGAGCAAGCGUUAUCCGGAUUUACUGGGUGUAAAGGGCGAGUAGGCGGAUUGGCAAGUUGGGAGUGAAAUGUCGGGGCUUAACCCCGGAACUGCUUCCAAAACUGUUGAUCUUGAGUGAUGGAGAGGCAGGCGGAAUUCCCAGUGUAGCGGUGAAAUGCGUAGAUAUUGGGAGGAACACCAGUGGCGAAGGCGGCCUGCUGGACAUUAACUGACGCUGAGGAGCGAAAGCGUGGGGAGCAAACAGGAUUAGAUACCCUGGUAGUCCACGCCGUAAACGAUGGAUACUAGGUGUGGGAGGUAUUGACCCCUUCCGUGCCGCAGUUAACACAUUAAGUAUCCCACCUGGGGAGUACGACCGCAAGGUUGAAACUCAAAGGAAUUGACGGGGGCCCGCACAAGCAGUGGAGUAUGUGGUUUAAUUCGAAGCAACGCGAAGAACCUUACCUGGUCUUGACAUCCCGAUGACCGGUCUAGAGAUAGACUUUUCUCUUCGGAGACAUCGGUGACAGGUGGUGCAUGGUUGUCGUCAGCUCGUGUCGUGAGAUGUUGGGUUAAGUCCCGCAACGAGCGCAACCCUUAUUGUUAGUUGAUACAUUUAGUUGAUCACUCUAGCGAGACUGCCGUUGACAAAACGGAGGAAGGUGGGGACGACGUCAAAUCAUCAUGCCCCUUAUGACCAGGGCUACACACGUACUACAAUGGCAGUCAUACAGAGGGAAGCAAAGCUGUGAAGCAGAGCAAAUCCCUAAAAGCUGUCCCAGUUCAGAUUGCAGGCUGCAACUCGCCUGCAUGAAGUCGGAAUUGCUAGUAAU
rnacentral:rRNA from 1 species